rnacentral:snRNA from 1 species
AUGACGUGGCGACUUGUAAUUAG